rnacentral:tRNA from 1 species
UGCCCACAGCCAGAAUCGAACUGACGACCUCAUCAUUACUAGUGAUGCGCUCUACCACUGAGCCAUGCGGGC